UACGUAGGGUCCGAGCGUUGUCCGGAAUUACUGGGCGUAAAGAGCUCGUAGGCGGUGUGUCACGUCGUUCGUGAAAACCUGCAGCUUAACUGUGGGCGUGCGGUCGAUACGGGCAUCGCUGGAGUUCGGCAGGGGAGACUGGAAUUCCUGGUGUAGCGGUGAAAUGCGCAGAUAUCAGGAGGAACACCGGUGGCGAAGGCGGGUCUCUGG
rnacentral:rRNA from 1 species